rnacentral:rRNA from 1 species
AUGAACGCUAGCGGCAGGCUUAACACAUGCAAGUCGAGGGGCAUCGAGAGUAGCAAUACUUGUCGGCGACCGGCGCAAGGGUGCGUAACACGUGAGCAACAUACCCGUUUCAGGAGGAUAACCGGAGGAAACUCUGCCUAAUACUCCAUGACAUCAUCAAACGGCAUCGUUUAAUGAUUAAAGAUUCAUCGGAAACGGCUUGGCUCGCGGGACAUUAGCUUGUUGGUGAGGUAACGGCUCACCAAGGCCACGAUGUCUAGGGGUUCUGAGAGGAAGGUCCCCCACACUGGAACUGAGACACGGUCCAGACUCCUACGGGAGGCAGCAGUGAGGAAUAUUGGACAAUGGUCGGAAGACUGAUCCAGCCAUGCCGCGUGAAGGUUACUGUCCUAUGGAUAUUAAACUUCUUUUGUAUGAGAGCAAUAAGGUGCACGUGUGCACCGAUGAGAGUAUCAUACGAAUAAGCAUCGGCUAACUCCGUG